rnacentral:lncRNA from 1 species
AUAAUACCUUAUGUUAGCCAACGACCUUACAAGAAAGGAAAACACACGUGAGGUAAUAAGUAAUAAGUUUAUUUUUCAAUUAUUUCUGUAUAAUAACCUUCUUCUUCUUACACUUACUUAGGCAUGUCACCACAUAAUUAGUUAAAUGUUAUGGUUGGUGUGCUAUCCUUCUAGGUCUUUCCACAUGUGCAUGGGUGGGGCCUUCAAUUGUGUCUUAAGCCAGCCUUUCAAUAUUCAUAAUUAAAAGAAAGAUUCUUGUCUCGACGAGCUUACAUUUGCGUUUCGGUUAACCUAUGAUGGAAGUCUAGGAGUAGGGGUAGGUAAAAGUGGUGGAAGUAGUUUGGGAGGAGGAGGGGUGGAUGGUGAAGAAGGUUGAGAUGGUGGAGGGUGAAAGAAGCGUGAAGGAAUUGUCAGUGCGGGUCGUGAUUUGUCCUUUUUGAGCUUAGCCAAGGCUAUAACACGAGGGAGGUCAAUCAGUUCGAGUGCUACAACCUCACAAUGGAGGUGGGUUUAAGGCUAGAGAGGAAACAACUGAGGUAGAAAUUAGGGGAAAAUUAGAGAUGCGAUUAACGAGUGUCUUAAACCAGAAAGGUAGUCAUGAAGGCUCUGAGUUUAGGAGAGCUUGCAAAUGGAGGCAAUGGGAUCCUUGAACUUGGAUGGAGCAAAACGAAGCUCCAAGGUAC